AGCAGCCGCGGUAAUUCCAGCUCCAAUAGCGUAUAUUAAAGUUGUUGUGGUUAAAAAGCUCGUAGUUGAACCUUGGGCCUGGCUGGCCGGUCCGCCUCACCGCGUGUACUGGUCCGGCCGGGCCUUUCCCUCUGUGGAACCCCAUGCCCUUCACUGGGUGUGGCGGGGAAACAGGACUUUUACUGUGAAAAAAUUAGAGUGCUCCAGGCAGGCCUAUGCUCGAAUACAUUAGCAUGGAAUAAUAGAAUAGGACGUGUGGUUCUAUUUUGUUGGUUUCUAGGACCGCCGUAAUGAUUAAUAGGGACAGUCGGGGGCAUCAGUAUUCAAUUGUCAGAGGUGAAAUUCUUGGAUUUAUUGAAGACUAACUACUGCGAAAGCAUUUGCCAAGGAUGUUUUCAUUAAUCAGGAACGAAAGUUAGGGGAUCGAAGACGAUCAGAUACCGUCGUAGUCUUAACCAUAAACUAUGCCGACUAGGGAUCGGACGGUGUUAUUUUUUGAC
rnacentral:sRNA from 1 species